rnacentral:lncRNA from 1 species
CCCCCCCCUCCCGCCACGGGGUAGGGGGACCGGGGAGGUGGCAGGUAGCGCCCAGCCCCGAGCCCCCUUCUCCCCACUGGAAGCAGCGAUGGCAGGAGUUUGUUAACCAUUUACCGAGAAAACCCCCUAACUAUGCAUGCAUAGAUACAGCUUUAUAGCACGAAUGUGACUUCCAUACUAAUAAAGUACUCAGCCUUUGGAAUUAAGGUGACUCCGUACCUUUUCUUCUAGAAGGAACAGUUUCACACUAAUAACAAAGAAUUGGAGGCUUGCAAACCGUUCACCGGGGCCCACUUUUCAAUGUUCAAGCUGGCGAAGGAGGACAGCGGCAUCCAAUAGAAGACCCUGGAUCACAGAGAGUGAAU